rnacentral:rRNA from 1 species
GACGAACGCUGGCGGCGUGCUUAACACAUGCAAGUCGAACGGAAAGGCCCUGCUUGCAGGGUCCUCGAGUGGCGAACGGGUGAGGAACACGUGGGUGAUCUGCCCUGCACUUCGGGAUAAGCCUGGGAAACUGGGUCUAAUACCGGAUAGGAGCCAUUUUUAGUGUGAUGGUUGGAAAGUUUUUUCGGUGUAGGGUGAGCUCGCGGCCUAUCAGCUUGUUGGUGGGGUAAUGGCCUACCAAGGCGGCGACGGGUAGCCGGCCUGAGAGGGUGGACGGCCACAUUGAGACUGAGAUACGGCCCAGACUCCUACGGGAGGCAGAAGUGGGGAAGAUUGCACAAGGGGCGCAAGCCUGAUGCAGCGACGCCGCGUGGGGGAUGACGGCCUUCGGGUUGUAGACUCCUUGCGCUAGGGACGAAGCUUUUUGUGACGGUACCUAGAUAAGAAGCACCGGCUAACUACGUG